ACACAUGUGGUGAUGGCUAUCAAUCACCAAUUUCAUCAUGUAUUCUGGUAUUCCCCAUCUUCCAUGUUUUCUGCUGUGAUUGUAACUCAGUGAUACGUAUAUCAUAUAAGUUUGAGUGAAGUGAAGCCUUUUGGAGCUGUUGAUGGCCGGAAGUCUGUAACUACCCAACACGAGGUCACUAGGUUCUCACUGUCAAAUAGAACUAUGCAAGCUUCUACGGCAGUUGCAGACUUUGUAGACCCCCCAAGAUCUCCUGGCCGUUCCUUGUGCCGAUUUAAAGCAAGUCCCUGACUAUCAUCAGAUAAAUCAUCAAGGAUCAAAACAUGGACUUUGGUUGAGGCCAGAUAAUUGAGACCCGGAUUACAGCUAGAGACGUUACCAAUGACUCGUGGAGUUUAUUACCAACAUCGUCAAGACUAAACCCAUUUAUUUAUUAGUGGGUAUAAGUGUAAAAUUUAAUUUGUUGUACAGCAACCGAGGAGUGGAAACGCGUAAAGUGACCCCUAAUAGAAGAUAUUCGUACUGCAGGACAAAUCUCAUCAUGUUGUUGAUGACGGAGAGAAAGCUAGAGUCGUACACUCGUAGGCCUACGUUACUUUAGAAUGUCUUAAGUUAAAUUUAGAGUUCAACCUGCAGACGGGCCGGCCAGUUUGCAUGUCCUUCACGCUUGAAGGUCACGGGGAUCAUUCCGUAAAACUGUCAUGUGGUGGUGUCGAGAUUGGGUGAGAAUCGUGCAGUGGUGUAGAGGUUGGGUGAGAACGACACGUGUUGCAAUCAUUAUGAAACAGACCCAUCCCCAGCAACGUCAACCUGCAGAAGGAAAGGCCAGUUUGCAUGUCUUUCACAAUCGAAGGUCAAGGAGAUCAUUACUUAAAACGUGCCAUGCAGUGGGGUAGAGGUUGGACCCAUCCCCUGCAGAAGGAAAGAAAAUUUUCCUUCACUUCCGAAGGUCACGGAGAUCAUUACGUUAAAUGUGUCAUGUGGUAUAGAGGUUGGGUGAGAACGGGACGUGUCGCAUCAUUAUCAAGCAGAUACAAUUGCCGCAAGGCUUAAAAGGUGAAGGGAUGGAAAAAAAUCGUAUAAAAGGAGAGAAAAAGGCGGUGGAAAAUCAGUCGAGUGAGGAGCUCCGACACGUCAACAACUGCAGCGUACUAUUUGUCACCAACAGGAUUCUUCAUCGUGCAAUCAUGGAUGUUUAGUUAAUCAUGGUGUUGUUGAUGGCUGGGUCGACCACUGGUGUAACGAUGUCUCCUGGGUAUGGAGGAUUCCAAACCGCAACGCCGCCGCCUUACUUAAUAACAACAUACGAAACAACCGGUACUACAUCACCAAGGCUCCAGGGUACCACCACAUCUUAUAAUGCCCCGAGCUACUACACCGAAGCCCUGAAGUAUAACUCUGCCCCGAGCUACACUACCAAAGAGCCGGAGUACCAAAGAGAGUGAGUUCUUUUUGGCAACAACUGGAUUGUUCAUCGUUUAACCAGUUCAUAAUUAUGGCUAAUUAUAGCGCCGUGCUGCUGUUGGGCGUUGUAUGACUGGGUCGACCCCUGGUGUACCGAUGUCUUCUGGGUAUAGCGGUUAGGCGGAUACCAAACACCGCCGCUCUACUACACAACAUCAACUUUAACAACCAGUUACUACGCCGAGGCCCCCAAGUACUACACCACUAAGGCGUCGGAGUACCAUAACUUACGCUUCGCCGAGUUACUACACCGAUGCCCCGAAUUAUUACUCUGCCUCGAGCUACACCACCAAGACAGCGGAGUACUACACGACUACGUAUGCUGUCCUAUCUGACAACACCGAGGCUCCCAAGUACUACUGUGUUCCCAGCUACUACAUCGAUGUUCCAGUUACUACCCCGAGGCUCCAGUUACUACCCCGAGGCUCCAGUUACUACCCCGAGGCUCCAGUUACUUUCUCGACCAAAACGGGCGAAUACUACACCGAAGCGCCCAAAUACUACUCUGCCCCGAUCUACACAGCCACAACUGAGACGGUCAAGCAUUACGCAGCCCCGACGUACUACACAGAAGCUUCUCCUUCCCACUACGUUGAACAGAAAUGCUACACUGAUUCUCCAGUUUACUACACCCCAAACGGGAUUUUUUUUUCAAAUUUGGCGGUUAUAUUUUAAUAGUUGGCAGUCACCGAUAUUUGAUUGUGGACGUUUGAUGAGAAAAUAAAUUAAUUGCGGGUAA